rnacentral:sRNA from 1 species
CCCGACGUGCUUCGCUUUACGUCGGGCUGAAAUCUUUCGUCCCUUCGGGACG